AAACGAGAUUGGUAUUCUUAGUUUCUUUUACAGAAGAAAAUAAGAAUUGAAGAGAUGAAAAAAUUGGUCUAAGAUCUCACAGCUCGUUUUGGCAGGGCCUAGGCUGACUCUGGGUCUCCAUGGACACAGUAGAUCUCAAUGUCUAUUCCCUCUCUUGGGGCUGUUGCUGCCAGAUUUGGUGCAAUGGUUUCCUUAGGGGUGGAAUUCAUGACACAUGGAGAAUCACCAGGAACCAAAUGAGCCUGUGGCUGCUCUGAUCCCACAGACCAGGAGCAAAAGCCUGCAGCCCAGGCUUUAGAUAGCAGAUGAGUUGGCCGGAUCAAGAUCUUUUGAAAAUCUGUUUCUGAAUGCAGUUCCUGGCUUUGUGCCAAGGGAAUCCUCACUAGCGGCCCCAACUCCUCUGUUAUCUCCAAGUCCCAGUUUUCCCCUGUGAUCUCCAAUGCUGAGCCCAGAGCACAGAGAGAGCCCCCAUCUCACCCCUUGCUAGCCCUGGAGGGUGAGUUUCCUGGGGCUUGAAGGGCGUGUUUCUGGCUCUACUCAGAUUUCUGGGAGGACACAACAAGCCGAUGCAUGAAAAAGUCCCAGGGCAAGGAAGACACCAGCAAAGCUCCAGCUCCUCCGUGCGCUCCCGGAUCAGAUCCUCCAGGUUACUAGAGUACUGCUCCAGCAUCCGAAGCAUCGAGUCAAUGAUGUUCGUCUUCCGGCCCUUGUUGAUGUUCUUGAACUAGCAGUAGAAGGAAGCUGGUAAAGCUGCUGAAGACCUGGGUUGCCAUGCCCUCUUUAUGCCCCCCUCAUGGGCCCUCUCAUGGGGCUGUUCACUCUGAACCCCAACCCCGCUGCCACCAUUCAUCUACUAUUCAUCAAGCACCCCGGGGUGCUGGGCACUGUGUUUUCAGACACGAUUAGGAGGCACGUGGGAAAUGAGGGUUCCCAGAGGUCAGUUGAUCUCAGCUAGUAAUUGACAGGGCACUGGAGCCAGCCCAAUCGUUGGGCUCCCAGGCCAAGGGUCUUUCUGUCACAGCAGGCCAAGCACAUACUUGGUUCUCAAUCAGUGUUAUUUGAAUUGAAUUGAAUAUUCCUCCCACCCAGACAGAACUCUAUCUCCCACUCCAAAAGCCUCCACAGCCCCCAUUCCAAUUCUGCCCCCAAACUCCGAGUCUUCAGGCUACUCCUUAGGAGGUAGCCUGGAAGGCCAGAGGUCCUGCCAGCCUGCCUGUCUGCAGCUGUCUCAGGUUGCUGACAAGCAUCUGGGAUCCCAGAGGCCAGCCCAGUCCUUGCCCACUCCCAGCCCCUGACCAGGUCGAAGGUGUGGUCCAUGGAGGGCCGAAGUUCCGGCUGCUCUGCCCAGCACUGCUUCAUCAGGAGGAUACACUCGACAGGUGCCUGGUCCAUGGACACCAAGGGCCGACACAGUGGAGGGGGGCUCCGCACCCUCUGCACCACUUCUGGAGGCAUGAGGGGACAGUGAGGGGGAGUGCCCCCAGAACACAAAGGCUGCCUCUGACCCUGGCCUGACUGUUGAAGACCAAGAUGUGGGAGGGGGUGCCUGGCAGGGGUUUCUUUACAUCAGAGGUUCAGUGUGUGUGUGUGGAGGGAGAGUAUAGUGUGGAAGGGGGUUGCUAGGAGGAACAAGAGGACCUCGAACUCUGGGGGUCAGUAAGAGGUGACAUAGGCAAAGAAACUAACAUAUUGUAUGUAAGACAAGUGAGGGAUAGGUGAUCAAGUAGUUUGCUCAGAGUCCUGUGCAGAAGGGAUGCACCCACUCCCCCUCCCCUGCUCCUCCCAGGGACCCCUGAGAACAGAGAGGAGUCUGUUCUGUCAGUUGUGGAAACAGUUUGGUUCCAGCAUCAAGAAAGAGGAAGCUGUUGUGGUCUGGGACCUAAUGAACCACGCUCCCCACCCUGGCCAUGCACGGCUUUCUGCACCCAGACCUGCAGAUGCCAGCUUUAAGGGGGCCUCCGUAUAAUUGAGUUUCAUCACUGGGCUUUGCUUUAGAGGAAAGAGUGAGGCUGGCUCUUUUCUAACUGCAGGGUGCCCCUGUGGGCCGAACUCCACGCACAGGGCAGCCUUACCCUCGGGAGUGAGCUCCAGCAUGGCAUAAGGGGCACUGCGGCACACUACUUCUUGCAUGAUGAUGGCCAAGCUAAAGACGUCGCCGGCCAGCGUUCCCCGGCGCUCCAGGGCUGGGUCCCUAAGCAGCUCCGGGGCUGUCCACAGCUGGUCUGGGGAUGGGGAAGGGGCUGAGGCGCCGCUGGGGAAAGACUCCCACCCUCACCAGAAAGCCCAGGUUGGCACCCAGACACCACCAACCCUGCAGCCUGAGACCGGUCUGAGACCCUGCAACCUGAGACCAGCCCUGCAACUAUCUCUAGGAGCCAUCUCAGAGAAAGCCUGGCAAAUAGGCCUUGCCCUUCAGAAAAGGUGGUGCCCAGGGAAGGCUCCGUCUCUUGGGCACAAGCCCCACCCUCAGGCAAACUUGUAAUCAGAGCAAACCCUGCUGCAGGCAGCUCAGGUACAAGUCCCGCCCCCAGCAGCCCCGUCUCCGAAGUCACAGAGCCCACCCUCUCAGAGGCCACAAGAUCUUUUCUGUAGCAGGAAUUGUGUCUGGUGGAUGUGGGAUGAAGAGAGUGCGAGGGCAGAGCAGUCUCCCGUGGCCGUGGUCAGUGAUCUUGAGUACGAAUCUGCCAUCCACUAUGCAGUUCCGUGACUUCAGCCGCCCAUGAGCCACGCCUCGAUGGUGCAGAUACCUUAUUCCCUUGGAAUGGGUAGGGUAAGAGGCAGCCUCAGCCUGCUUGGUUCCCUUGCUCCCCAUCCCUGCCCCCAGGACGUCACCCCACCACCCCCAGACACACACCUUGAUAAGGUCCAGCAGGAGGGAGGACUUGAACAUCCAGUCCAGCUUUAUUUCUCUCUGAGCGAGGAGGUCCUGAAGAGAGCCCCGCGUGCAGUGCUCUGAGACCACAGCCAGGUUGCCCUCCCAGAGGGCCGCAGGGCCUUCUGCUCCCCGAGCCAGGAAAAGCCCCAGGUAGAGGGCCACGUUCUCAUGCCGGAGCUCCUGGAGCUGAGAGGGGGAGAGUUGACUUGCAUUUUCUGCCCAGGGCAAUGUGGGGAAGGGGCUGUUAAUCAAGAUCUGUUUUUGAGUAUCCAGACCCAGAAGAUGAGAUUUUUACAAAUGGUGGAUGAAAUGGUUGAUAAGGUAUGUACGGGGGCUCUCUUCUACACAUAGUCCUAUUUUUGGAAAAAACAAUAUAGUCAAAGGCCACUGUUUGGAUACUGAGUAUGGUUUAGCCUAAUGCUGUGAAUGAAAAGACAACUUUGCAUUGGUGAUCAGGACCCAGGCAGGUUCGGAUUUAUUGAUCAUAAGCCU
rnacentral:lncRNA from 10 species